GAUGAACGCUAGCGGCGUGCCUAACACAUGCAAGUCGAGCGAACCCUUCGGGGUGAGCGGCGGACGGGUGAGUAACGCGUGGGUAACCUGCCCUAUACACACGGAUAACGUACCGAAAGGUACGCUAAUACGGGAUAAUAUUGUUGGAUGGCAUCUUCCAACAAUCAAAGCUCCGGCGGUAUAGGAUGGACCCGCGUCUGAUUAGCUAGUUGGUGAGGUAAUGGCUCACCAAGGCGACGAUCAGUAGCCGACCUGAGAGGGUGAUCGGCCACACUGGAACUGAGACACGGUCCAGACUCCUACGGGAGGCAGCAGUGGGGAAUAUUGCACAGUGGGCGAAAGCCUGAUGCAGCAACGCCGCGUGAGCGAUGAAGGUCUUCGGAUCGUAAAGCUCUGUCCUCAAGGAAGAUAAUGACGGUACUUGAGGAGGAAGCCCCGGCUAACUACGUGCCAGCCGCCGCAGUAA
rnacentral:rRNA from 1 species